UUUUUUUUUUUUUGCAUUGAACUAUCGCAAUGCCCAUGGAGGCGGUUUUUCCUCUUGGGCGCUAAAGCUCGCCGUUUCUUUCUUUUCAGUUGACAGAGCACGAUGCCGGACAGGAGCGGCGCGACCCUGUUUGAGGACCUGCCUGCGGAGAUGAUCGACAAGAUACUCACUCAGUUGCCGUCCAAGGAUCUCGGCGGCUGUCGUGCCGUCAGCACGUCGUUGCACAGUGCCACCUCCACGUCUGAAUUCAUGCUCGAACACCACCGCUGCCAGCCGUCACGUCCCAUCAUCGACGGAAGACCACGGCCCAGCGGCCUUGUCGUCUUCCGUGACGCUGGCGCCCCUCAACAGCUCUGGACCUUCGUCUGGGACCCCGAAAUCUCUUCGAAGGAACUCCUCCACGGUGCCUGUGAUGGCUUCCUCAUCGUCUCCCGAGGACUCCGAUUUUACAUCUGCAACCCAGCCAUCAGCAAGCAUGUUCCCCUACCGCUUCCUCAGGUUGGACCAGAGAACUACAACUCUGUGAUCGGUUUCUACCGGCACGAUCCCACUGGAGAGUACAGGGUGCUCUGGGUCUCGCACUCACAGCCAGGGUCACAAUCUAAACCCAGUUUAUACAUCAUUACAGUGGGAUCCAACAAGCCAAGGCAGGUCAGAGUGAGAAUGCCAGCAGUUUUGCCACCUUCCGCGGAACAGAAAUUACUAAAUGAUCUGUGCUCUUGGUCCUAUUAUGCACCAUCAGUCCACCAUUGUGGCGGCCUGCACUGGUGUCCUUAUGGCGCCAGCGACAUUUGGGCCUGCGGUGCAGACAUUAUUGUGUUUGACACACAAGCCGAGACAUUCCGGUGCAUCCGCAGUCCCGCCCAGUCGUGCCCUAAUAGGAAGUUGUUCCACAUGGAGGGGACCCUUGCUUUAUGGGGCGCCAGCUCGACACGUAGUUUUACCAUUAUGGAUGUCUGGGUGAUGCAGGAUUACAAGGCUCAAAUAUGGGUUUUCAAGUACCGGAUUGACCUAUCAAUGGUGGAGGCAUCACGGCAGCUCUAUUUAACUACUUUGAAAAAGAAAAAGAUAAGGCAAACACCACUUGAUUCAACGGUUGAAGAGUUCAAUGAUAUGGCUGUGCUCAACGAGCGUGAGCUGCUGAUCAAGUUUAAUAAGAAACAUGUGCUACACUGGGACAUUGAUGGCAAGUUCCUAGGUAUUGUGAACAUUGGAAAGAGUCAAUAUUGUAUGGCGCUUACUCAGUGCCGCCUCCAAGAGAGCGUUAUUCCAAUUCCGUCCCACGGGAUGCAAGGAGAAGAUGAGGAACCUCCAUUCUCCACAGAGCAUGUCUGAAUGUUCAAGACUCUUGUUUGCUUUGCCCUUUGGAUUCAGAGGGUGUCUUCUGUUUCUGCUAGUACUACCAGUAGAAUAUGUCAGUUUGGAUGGUCGCCAUAGCUCUUACUUAUAAUGAUGUGUUGAACGUCUUGUUAAUGUUCUGAAAUAUGGGGUAUUGAUCUAUGAUAUUAAAACUUUAUUAUUGUUCCUCUCCGCCUCUCAAAUUUACUCUAUUUUUGGGAUGGUUCAGAUGCACUCCUUGGGCCAUGCUCUUUGAGCGAAGAAAUUUUUAGCUGUUGAAAUGUUAUUCUGUGUCUCUUCCAUUGGCUGUUGAGAAGAGAUCAUUGUUCCAAUUCUUUGUCAUGAGAUUCAAGAAGAAGACGAGGGAGUCUUCCUUCUCGACAUGGUAUGUCUGAAUGGUCAAGACUCUUGGUCCGGCAUGCCUUUGGAUUGACAACAUAUCUUUUGUUCUCAGCUCUUCUUACUUAUUAGUACUACCACAUGAACAUUUUAUUUUGGAUGGUUACGCUCACACCUGGGAUCUCAUCAUUUGGUGCUUGCUUAUUAUCAUGUAUUGGUCAUCUUGUUAAUGUUCUGAACUGUGGAGUACCAACCUAUGACAUUAGAACUUUGUUAAUGUUCCUCCUCGCCUCCGAAAGUUCACUUUAAUUUCAGCAUGCUUACGAUGCACGAAUGGUCUUCAAGCAAAGGCAUUUCAAAUUUUUGAAAUGUUAUUCUGGUGUCUUCCAUAGGCUGUUUCUUCAGUCUCUGCUUCCUGGUGUGUAAUUUGGUCGUAACUUGUAAGUUUCACUAGGCGGCACCUACUCUUUGUGUGAAACAUACUGCGUCGGGUAUACUUUUUGUGGCUGCUUGUAGUGGGUUUUAGGUAUUUUGGUUAUAAACGAGUUGAACUAUGUGCUCUCCUGGAGCAAGGUAAAUUUGACUUUCAGCUCCCAUUGUUAAGAAGCAAGAAUGUACUCUAACUGUUCUGAUGAGAGAUUCGUUCUUGCUUGUGUUAUUUUUUGAGUGAAUGCCAGAGUGUCUGACAGUGACAUAGUCUGGCAUUUCAUUAGAUGUUAGUUAUUGUGUUUCUAGUUCUUAAAAUUGCCUGUUUGCUCCUGCUUCAUGCACAAGAGAAGCGUGGCGCAGAUGUCGUCGACGUGCACUAGCGGCACCGAUCCCAGGAUCCUCGGCAGCGAGAAGUAGGGAUCUUUCUUGGUCACCGGCGCCACCGCGCUCUCCACUGUCUCUCAGACCUGGCCGAGGACCGUGUCACCCGCGACGAGGCUGCAGGGCAGCGUGACCACCUCGAACGCAGGGCUCUCGCCGUCGUUGUAGCGCAGAAGCUCCUUCUCUGACAGGAGCUUUGCCUCUAUGUGCCUCUGCAGAUGGUCCACUCAACACUGUCACUCUGAUGAUGUGUUGUCAUGCAGGGUGAGCACCAAGAUUGCCAUUUUGCAUUUGAGGUUCAGAAUUCAGGCCCGGCCUCUGGCCUUUUACUUGGUGUUGUAAAACUUGGGGCCUGCCCCGCUGGUUAUAUCUAUAAAGAUUCAGGUGGGGAAGUUCUUUGUGAGACCAUCCUAACAGCAACACAGGUAUUUCCUGUGCACUUUAUCUUCACUUUUGCGCACACAUGAACAACUUCACGGUUGGUCAUCCUCAAAUUACCUCAGGGUAAGCACGCUUAUUAUGGAAAUUCUUUGGAGAUGAGCUUCCAGGAAAGAAAAAUUAUGCAUUUUGUUUAUACAAGUAGUCUAUCAUUCCUAUUAAGCAAUGAUAUUACAAUACCCCCCCCCCCCCACCCACACACACACACAAGGAUCUGACGUCCUCGGCGACCCAGCGGGAACAUUCCCUCUUGGCACACGUUUGUACGUGCAGUGUCGACAGAUGUGCCAUGACUUGUGGUAUGGCGUGCCACACGCGCCAUACACCUCAUGUGCACACACAUGACCUGCACACGUCUGUUUAACCGUGAGGGUCAUCUUUGAUACCAUUCUGUAACGCUUUAGCCAUAGUCAUCGGUUCUAGAUCAUCAUGCCUGGCUACCACCUAGGAUCUAAAUUGGACCCAUAUACCAACAUUGGUCUUUCCUGCACACCUUUUCCUCAUUCGUGUACAAUUACAAGCAAUUUCUGACCACGCUUAACAUGGAGGUUCUUAGGAGGCAAGCCACCGGAAAAGAUGGUGCACCUUACUUGUAUGAGUAGUCUAUCAUUCUAUUAAGCCGGGAUGCCACAUAUCUUGACUUGCAUAUUGGUGUUCCAGACAUGAAUGAGAUUGUCUUUGCAUAUUGGCCUUCUUCAGGCGGAUCUAGGGAAUGUCAACAAACUGAACCCAGACCACAUGUGGGUAAGACCUAGCUCGUACCUCAAAACCUAGUGGAGGAAGAGCCGCCAGCGGCGGUAGGGGGAAUGGGGCGGCGACAGGUGAAGAGGCAUGGGUGGGUGUCGACGGUAGGUCUAGGGCACAUGUGUGUGGGUCCUUUGGGUGCAGGUUGGUAUGUCAGGGAAGAGGGGUUGGAUGAGUCAAAUAAAAAAAAAUCAAGAAUACGCACGAGUGUGUGUAUCAUCUAUUAAAGAGAGAAUGGGCUAGAAAGCCAUUUCAAACUCCACACAAGGAUUACCAACGUGUCAAGGACGCGCUCACCAACAUGGUGUUGGUAUGAAGUAUUACAUAACAAGAUGCCCACUCAACGCAUCUAGAAAGGAUACACACAGAUUGUCCCUGAGGAGGCCGACAGAUGCCCAAGCAGUCCCCUCAUUUUUCAUGUCGGAGAUCGUCUUCAUGGCCGAGGGGGUUGCACCAUCGAGUACCGCAACAUUGCAGUGUUUCUAGAUCUCUCAGAAAACCAUUGUUACGAUGGGUCUGAUAUUGCAUCAUUCUGUCUGAGGUGCAACUUUGGAAGUACACCAAUUGAGUAAGUUGUCAUUAGUCGUAGGUUUCCAAUCGGACUUGCCCGAAGCGGAUAGGGUAGCAUACUAGCAUGCCAUACCUGGUCAUGACACAUGUGAUGAGUAAGUGAUUGAUGGUCUCUUGUUCCUGAUCGUAUAUUGGGCACAAAGCUUGGUGUGGUAGUCCACAACGCGCAAAUCUGUCGGAGGUCCAAUAGCGAUUUCGCGUGGCUAACCAGGUUCGUGGGCAGAAGUGGUACCCGUCAUGGAAUUCACAUGAAAAGUCACGUGCUCGGCUACCUGCGGAAUUCACAAUGAAGUCAGCUGUGGAAGACUUGACCUUCAUUUCCCGCAAAAAAAAAAAAGAAGAAGAAGACUUGACCUUCAUCAAGCCCUUCCACAAUGGUGAGUCAGUAGGCUUCACAUCAACUUGCGAUAUCGUUUUCGAAUGCAGGUAUUUGUUGUGCAAUAAUUUGUGCCAAACACCUUCCUCAUUGAGUAUCUUAUGAAGUCAUUUGUUGAGUAAACACUUGUUUCUGAUUUCAAGGUUUUUAAUGCCUAAGCCUGCAUUGACAUUCAACAAGUAGAUGGUUCAUUAUCUUGUGAUACUAUGAUGUGAUUGCUUUCCAGACUGUUUUUAUUUGACAAUUACACGGGAAAAAAUGUUGAUUUACUACUACUCUGUUUUCAAAUCCCUGCAUUAGUAGUUUUUACAUGCAUUAUUCGAUCGUGUGCAAACAUUGCACUGCUGCUUUGACUUGUAAAUUUCACUUGUCAAAAUUUCAGGCAUAUGUUUUGAUUCACCGUGAAAACAGAGUGUACAACAAAAACACAUCAAACCUACAAUUUGUUCACUACGGUCAGCUAAAUUCUUCUUGCUAUUUGCUCCAACAAGUUGCUAUAAUCCUGCUGACUCUGUUUACAUUUGGAAUAUCUAAUUUUUUAGAAAUUCUGAUUUUAUGGUUUCAUUUGGAGCGACAACCAUAUGAUACCAGGGGCUAUGAUUGGAUGCACAACCACAUUGGUCCUCCACACAGUACAGAAUCAAAAGUGUUUCUAAGUUUCACCAAAUCUACUCCUCCAGGUUAAGUCGCUGACAACACAAAACGGAAAUUAACCAAAAUUAUAGUGUCAAUUUUGCUGCUAGUCGCUCCAUUACAUUACAGUCCAUGGGGGUGUUGUAACCUCAGACUCGGCUAUCAAGGGUCUCUCCAGGCAAACGGCCAGCUACCAAAACGGUGAACCAUGGAUGAUAGAUCAGCGCCUCUUCUUGCCAGACUUUGAGCCGGCAGAUUUCGAUGGGCUCGCGACCAGGUAGAUGAACCCCAGAACGAAGGAAACAACGGACACCAGUGCUCCAUACUUCGCAACAAGUUUCUGCACAUGGACAGUCUCUUAGAAUCUCACACCAGGGAAUAUCAUGGCAGCUUAUUUCGAUGGAGAAGAAAUGAAAUGAAAUUACCUUAGCCUGAACAGCACAUGAGAGCAAAUCCAGAGAUAUCCAGAGCAAGGGUAUCAACCCCACAAAAUAGCAUGGAAAAAAUUAGAAUCACCAAGGAGAUAUUACCAGAAUGAAAAUGCACAUGAUCACUUACCCAUUCAAACUUCUUCACUGGAGGUCUUUCAGCAAGAAUGUCCAGGGGGAGGAUGGGAGUUGAGUAGGCCUCCU
rnacentral:lncRNA from 1 species